AAUUGUUUUACAUGUGUUAAAAUGGUUGCCUGUCUGAAUGGGUUGAAUUGAGUUCGGUUUUCUCCCAUAAAAGCUGGUGUACUGUGUUCAGACGAAGUAAAGUGGCUGGCUCAGACAGACUCUUUCAGGUGGACACAACUGGGAUCCUUCUUGGCCAUAUCCUCUUUUUCAGUAUCGGGCAAAGGUUGUGCAAGGGUUUCUGGGAGAAAGAAGGCGAAGAUCCCACUGACGAUUGGAGCCCCUCCGUAGAUAA